CGGGGGGGGGCAAGCGUUGUUCGGAAUUACUGGGCGUAAAGGGCUCGUAGGCGGCCAACUAAGUCGGAUGUGAAAUCCCCAGGCUCAACUUGGGAACUGCAUCCGAUACUGGAUGGCUUGAAUCCGGGAGAGGGAUGCAGAAUUCCAGGUGUAGCGGUGAAAUGCGUAGAUAUCUGGAGGAAUACCGGUGGCGAAGGCGGCAUCCUGGACCGGCAUUGACGCUGAUGAGCGAAAGCUAGGGGAGCAAACGGGAGUAGAUACCCCGGUAGUCCUAGCCCUAAACGAUGAAUGCUUGGUGUGGCGGGUAUCGAUCCCUGCCGUGCCGAAGCUAACGCAUUAAGCAUUCCGCCUGGGGAGUACGGUCGCAAGGCUG
rnacentral:rRNA from 1 species